CGCCCCUCGGGCCGGCGCCGGGCCGCGUUCCCAACCGCGCACAAAAGCGGCGGUUGACCAGCGGGCUGUCCUGGGGCGCGCUGAGCAGUGGGAGGCGAUGCCAAGAUACCAGAAGGGGCUAUAAGGCAAUACGGUUACUAUGAAUUACCGCCGAAAUGCCGAGGUGAUGGCAGCUCAUAGUGAGAGGGUCUGGGGGAAAAGGGGACGGCACUGACAGCACAACCCCAGCCUUCAGAAGAUCACCUUAGGUCGGGCGGCAAAAUGGCGGCACCUGUCUCCUCACAGGGCACGCCGCAUCCUCACAGGGCGCGUGGCCCUCAUCCAAGCGUUCUGCUGGCAUUGCCAUACACUGCUGUUACGGAAGAGCUUUUGCAACUUGAAAAUAAGCUGUCAUGUUCAGAGGAAGUGACUCAGAAGACUCGGGGGCAAGCAGGAUCUUUCUGCUGAGCUCAUGCUGCAGCAGGCUCCGUGGGAGAAGCAGAGCCUCAAUUUCCUCAUGAUGUUUUCCAAUGCUUGGUCACGGUGAGCCUGGGCAGAGGCCAGGACAGUUCUACCAGAAAGGACCACCAAAGGAAGAUGGCAACACAGAAGGUUCAACAACUGUAGUCCCUUCAUCACUUGAGCCAUAAGCCACCAAGACCUGAAGACCAUGGAUGGAUUACAUUCCAUUGGGAUCUGACAAGGUGUUACCAUAUGGACUCUGGGAUCUGCAACCUCACUUGUCCUCAGCAACAGGAUCAUAGAUGCUGCCUCAGAUCGCCUCUCAUCUCAAAAGCACCGCUGUGACUUUGCUAGAAGAAAACAAGGACAGGAGCUCUGGGCCAUGAGCUGGCUUUAAAUCCUCUUGGGUCCCCGAGUCCCUAAGUGGCAGUGCAGUCGCAGAGAAAGUGAAGUUCUUAACAAGUGACCUUGACAGGAUAAAAGAUCAUUUCUCAUCAUUGCCUCAAAUGUUUAUGCCCGACGCGGCUCUAGUCGGUGUUGCUGUUAUUUCGACACGUAUUGUUUCAAGCUCUUCUCCAAAAUAACUGCUUAAAGGAAAGAUCGUGAAGUUGGAUUAGACCUGCCAACCUGAUGAAAGUGUCAAGAUUGUCUAACUUAAACGGGGAGCUUUCCUAAGUACAAUUCAUUCUCAUGAAGACUUCCGGUGUUGCUUGAUGUGCUUUCUAGUUGGGUUGUCUAAUUGUUAAUGUUGGUAAAGUUUUAGGUUUUGAAGCUUCAAUUAAUAACGGGCUUUGAAGCUAGGCUGCAUGCUCAGUUUUUUAUUAGUUUAGCAUUAAGUUUCUUCGUUAAAAACUUACACUUAUCAAAAAGACUGUUCUGUGAAGUAAUUUUACUCUUUGUUUCCUUUAUGCGAGAAACAUUCAUAAUAGUUACUGGCAAGGAAAACAGAAACAACAAUGAACUCCUCUGACUUCUAGUUAAGGGUUGAACUGCCUGGUCUCCUUCAGUUGGCUGAAAGUUUUAAUUUUAAGGAGUUAGUGUGCUUGUUCCUGGGGAUAAUCUUAUUCAGUCUGUGCAUUCAGAACGACCCUGGCAAUGAUGAAACACAAAGGAGUAAAGAAGUGGGUGUUAUUGCAGAAAAAAACAGAGGAACUCUGGCCAGAAAAGAACACUGUAGCCAAACAGGGAGAUUCUGGAGCAUUAUAUAUCCUUCAAGAUCUCCUUUCACAUUGCUUUUUGCAAGAGCUUUUCACUAUCUAAUAUAAACCCAAACCCUUUCCUCUUUGGAAGGUGUGAAUUGGACAGAAAAACAAAACAUGAAGUGAAUUUUCCUUUCUGAAUCAUGCAGAUAAAUUGGAUUCUCUUCUUUUGAGGCAAGAAAACUGGAAACAUACAGAGAAAAUGGUCAAAUAGAAGUUUAAUUGCCAGCUCCUUCUUUUUUUUUUUCUCUUCAGAGGAUUACCUCUAGUCAAUGGCUGCAAAAAUAAACCUCUGUUUACUCACUGUGCUAAGAAAGACCAUUAUCAGAAAGCCAUACAAGACUAAAUAUGUGUCUUUCUGAAAUGAAUCAACUGCAUAAUAUAACAAGCAACUGCAACUACCAACAUGCUAUAUAUACACAACAAUACCCUUUCAAGUUUUAUGCAAUCUGGAACAGUGGCAGCAGGCCAGCACAUUAUCUUCUAAUCCAUUCCAAACCAAGGUUUUUAAAUGUUAUACAUAUUCAUACAUGCCAUAGAAAACUAGUAGGGGCUUUAGUCAGACACUUUUUGCAUAAUCUUUAUGUUCCAAAAAUGAAAGAAUGUUUGCCCUUUUUUGCAUAAGGAUCAGAGUGAAAAUUCCCUUUUGUUCAUCUCCACAAAACCUGAAAACCAAUAUGCACGGAUUCUCUAAUCCUCAUUUCACACCUGAAGGGUGAAGAAGUUUGACAAAAAGAAGAAUCAGUGACCAGCUUCAUGGCACUGCCUUGUGCUGUCAUGGCAGGUCAGUGGUUUCAGAGCUCUUUUGUGACUUCUGCUCCCUCUACAGGUGCCAUUUCUGAGAUGCUGCGCAGUCAUGCUACGUGGAGAUUGUGCCAGGGAAAGUUCAGGCUGAUGAUUUGAGAAAUGACAUCAGUAAAGUUCCUAAAUAACUGCAUCUUCCUUCUCUCUAUGAAUACAAAAUUCAGUAGUAGCAGUUAGAGUGCAGGAUUGUACAGCCAAGAUGGGGAAAAAAAGAAGAUAAAUUGUAUGAAGUAUUGCCUGUCUUUAAGGAGGGUCAUAGAUAUAUUACUAUGUCCAUACUAGUGCCUUACAGGUUGCAAGUUGUUCCACUUUUAUUGAUAUUAUACAGUUUAUAGGAACUAAAACAACUGACAGCUUUUUGGGGAGGUUCUUCUUCAUGUGAAAAGAGGGUCAUUCAUGGAACUAAACGACAAAUGUGUAUUUGAGAUCAUAAAUUGUUUGCUAUCCAUGGAUAUCUUUUAUCAUACUUUCACCUGCUUACAGAUCUCAAAAUACCCUCAACCUGCCAAACUACAACUGCAGCAUUCAGGAAAUUUUACAAGCCUAUUCAUUCCUCAGUCCUUUAUGACAACAGAUCUUUCAGUUUGUACAGAUAGGGAUCUUAUAAAGCACCACUUAUUACUAAGUGGGGAAAAGAUGCAGGUAGUUUUUACCAUACAAGGUCAAAGAGAAUGUGGAAGGCACAUCUAAGCAAUACUUGUCGAUAUCAGCUUUUUACAGUGAGAUAAGGAGAACUUCAGUAUUGCUCUAAAACAAUGUCUUUUUUGGUACUGAAGACAUAUCUUUUACAAAACACUUAUACUACUAAUAGCAGUAAUUUAUUCUGUCUACUUACUUACAAAAGCCACUUUCAGGCUGGAUUUUAAGGGCAAAUCCUCAUUUCUUCCAUCUCCCUGCCUCUUUACUUCAUGAAACAAAGUGACAUGGCAAAAAAGCAUAGCAAAUACAAAGAGGGUUCAUAUUUCUGACGCAUUAAAUAUUGCUUGCCCACAUCACAUACAGACUACCUGGAUCAGCUUACAAACUUCCCUGUUUGCAUAUAACUAUGGCUCUAUCACACAUUGCUUUCUCUUCCCUGGUUUACUUUCCCUAUAUCCUGUUCCUCACAGCCUUCCCCAGAUAGGAGACUUCCAUGGGGAUCAGGAGAUGGGGAAGAGGAAGAAGGAGCAGGUAGUCACAAAGAUAGCAGCAGGUAAAAGUUGGUGAUGCUCUGUGGAGCAAUGUCCCCUCGAUGUUGUCAAUACCACAGUUCUGCCACUGCACCUCUGAAAAGACUGAUUCACAGAGAACUGCAGCAGGAAAAACUGGACUUGGUUUCUUUCCCUUCCAGUCUGACUUUCUGAAAAUAAGCAAACAAACUAGGUUUAUGUGGUUAACAUCAAUCUAUUUUCCUCUUUUCCUCUGAGUAAUUUUGUCAAAUUUGAGAAGAAGCCCGAAGUUUCAAUGCUAAGGAAAUUCCUACCAAUUUUCUGUGAAAACACAUAGCUAUGGAGAAGGAUCACAUAAAGGGCCUCUUCUGUCCCCUUUAGGGAAAAGGCUGUAAGUUCCUAUGUUAUGACAAAAGCCUAUUCGUGCAGAAUUCCCCAGCCAUGAAGAAAGCACACAAAACCCAGCCAUGAGGAAAACUCUGAGCAGAACUUAGGCACAGAACUUGGUACAAAAACUCUGAGGAAACUAGGCCUCGCAGUUUCUGGCACUCAUGGAAUUCCUGGCUCAGACACUGCCUGACAGCUCCUGCGUGUUUCAAGAUGCAUCGUUUAAUAUAAACAACAGCAGGAACAUCAGGAAACAUAAAAGAUUUAAAGGAAGCUUCAGUUUCAGCUGAAGGAUGCCACCAGAUCAAACUUCUGCUUUUGGCUGCCAGUUACAGGAAUAAAGUUGUCAGCAGCACAUCAGCUGUCGGGAUCAGAGCUCUGUGGUGAGAAUGCAGAUACAAUGCCAGCGGCUGUUCUCAGUUUCAUCACUGCUUACAAGAGAAAUGGAGAGACCAAUCUCCUACUGCAGAAAAUGGCACCACCAGUGGGAACUACCUGGACAUUUUUAUUCAUAAAUUUAAGCAAGCGUCAAAGUUAAGUUUGAGGGAAAUCAUUUUGCAAAGAAUGAAGACGUUUUAGACAGAUCAGUAAUAGAAUGGUUCCUAGCAAUAUUUAGAGAUAUCUCCAUUUGAAACAGAAUAGCAUGCAUUAGAACAAACAUGCAGAAAUGACAAAUAGCAGGUCAUAAUUCCUGUGAUGAAAUCUGGUUUCUACUUUUCUCCUGAAAAGAGUAGAAUAACAUCACAGAACUACUUUGAUUUUAUACUUGCUAAAGAGAGCACACUUUAUCUGCGAGUUAUCUGACUGAAUGGUCUUGUCUUGUUUUCACUAGUUAAUAUCUGGCAAUUAUUUGUGGAUAUGAUUGUUGUAAGCUUAACAUAAGUAGGCAGUACUGACUGAGUUUUAGCAGUAGGUCUUUUUUUGCUUGACCUGAUGGCACACGCAAAAAUCAAAAAACUGCCAGGCUCACAUUAGGAUUUGAAUGAGUUAUGUUAGUGGAAUCCAAAUACAUGCUGUUUUGAAGAGCUAAGAGAAGCAGUAGACACAUGCAGAAUAGCCAGUAAAAAGCAGUAAAAUAGCACAAUAUACACCUGUAGUAAGGCCUGGAGUAAAAGAAGAAAGAGCCUUUAGGUACAGUACUAACUAAAGAAAGGCUUAGAGGUCUGAGCAAGGAGAACAUUCCUUGCCAUCAUGUGUGGAGGAACAUGAGAUAUUUUAAUUCUUUGAAAAACAAAUGGCAUCAAAAAUAAAACAGCUGAACUUCAGUUUCCUCUCCUAAGUAAAAUAGUUGAAGCUCAGAUUACUGAUCAAAACAGGUAAUACUAUGUUCAUUCAGUAUAAAUUUUUGUUUCAAACCUUUGGGUGCUACUAGUAAAUCUACAUUCUGGUUUGUUUCUGGUUCUACUUUGAAGAUAAAGGUAUGUGCAGAUAUGGGCGAAAAGGGCAGAUCUGUAGCAGCCUACAUAUAUGUCAGUUUAAGCUUACAAGUUUCACUCUUGGCCCUGGGACAUGUAAGUAGGCCAAGCAAGGUAGAGAACCAGUGACUUAAAUGGUUAUAACAAUACCGUUACCAUCCCCAUAGUUUGGCGGGGCUCCAGUCAAGUCUGAGAUCCCUUUGUAUUACCACUAAUACUUCUCAUCUACACUUAUUUACAUUUAUCUGCCUAACAAGAACAGGCAGUCUAGGAAAAAGUCAUUUGCCCCAGGCAGAAAAGCUCAGGGCCUUAGGAAGGAAUUGUUAACAGUGUCUGCAUAUGCAAUUACAUAUUUCAUUACUGAAAAGUGAGGUCAGGCCCUUACGCAGGCAUUAGUACAGCCAUUUACACACAUGAGAGUCUCAGCUAAGUAGAAUGGCAUUUCCACCCUAGGACUGUUCUGGAACUAGAGAGCAAUAUCUUAUGAGAAGAAUUUACUCAUUGAUAAUCACUUUUCUAUGAAGCUUUCUAAAGAGCUGAAAGUUCUCAUUUUUUUCCAUUCGGAAAAAGAUCACAGCUCACGACACUCCUCUGGAGUGCAGUGGAUGUGGUUACUGCAGUACUUAGAACAAGUAGAUGCAGGUGCCACCGUAGAUACGGUCUAGCACUGCUGAAUGGAGUUUAACUGGCUGAAUGGAGUUUAACUGCAGACACAGAAAGUCAAGCUUUGGUUUUGUAAGGUUAGGUUGCUCAUAGUUGAGCAUCGCCAUCCCUGGGACUCAGAUCUAUGUGCCAUUAAUCACAUUAAUUGAGAAUGUGGCCUUAGUAGCCAAGAAAAUUUCUUCUCACUAUUGAGAAACUUGAGUUUCAGUCAAGAUCUCUCCUAUGGGAACUUGCCUGCCUGCAGUUUUUGACAGUGUUUGAAAUGAUGAGAGCUUGG